rnacentral:lncRNA from 1 species
UUACAUGAGAACACUUGGGAUAAAACCCAAGGAAAUUGUAUGAUCUAGCGUUAUCUCUAUACGUUUGGGUAGCUAGGAUUGGAUCUCUCUAUUUCUUAAUGCAAUUGACAAUUGUUUUGAUGCCUAAGGCCCAAGGACAUUCCUUGGCAAUUUGUUAAUUAGUAAUUAAUUAGAGGACGUUCCCUAAUUGGUUUAAUCAUAAGGAGAGAUAAUGGUGGUGAGAAGCGUCUUCCAUC